GCUCUCCUCACGCAUCUCUGAGCUGCUGGCUGGCUGGCUGCUCAGACACCUCGGUUCUUCUCCACAGGGCCCCUCACCUUUCUGAAGGCUUCAAUUUGGAAGAAUCUAAGAUAAUACUCAAGUUAAUUUUAUGUUGUGUGGAUAAAAGGUGGUCUUUGAAAAUAGCUGCAGGAUAAGCCAUAGUUGGAAAAUUUACAACUCAAUGUGAAAAUCAGGAAAUGAACUUUCCAACAUUUAAUUACUUGAUAAACCUUCAAAUACUUGAGAGAGAGUUCCAGUGGAAGAAACCAUUUUGUUGUGUACAGUAAUUCAGGAGUUUGAAAAGGACUGGCAAAGGGGCAUGCAGUGCAUACAAGGACAAUGGAAUUGGCUGGCUGAUAUUAAGUUACAUUGACAUCCUACUGCAAAUGAAAAGCAGAACCAUUAAUAAAAAAUUGAAAACUAAGUGUGAAGGUCGAGGGCCUUUUGGAGGCUUAAAAAUAAACCCUUGUCUGCUGCUGUGGGAGAGCAGGAAAAUGUGAAGACUAAAACUUGGGAUUUAAUAUGUAGAAUCCCUGAGCUUCAAAGACCCACGGCAUGUACAGCUGAGGAGAGUCCGUUAUGCCGAAGGUAUGGUUCUGUUUCAAAUAUUUGGGCACUUUAGGACAUGGCAUGGGGGUGUCUGGAUGCAUGACACCCAAGAUUUUGGCUUCCCUGCCUUUUAAACCCUAAGUUUACUGAAGAGAUUGAUCCUUUCUUAAUGAGACCUGUCACUUUCCUUGAGUAAAAAGCCACUGAAGAGCAGUCUCUCUCACAACAUAAAAGGUUCUGCCCCCUUAAGAUCUUUUCCCAACCCCUGGGCCACUGCCAAUUGUAGCAUAAUUUGGCCAGGCAUAUGCUAGACCUGAUGAAGGAGAGAGAGUCCAUGACACAAAGGAGGUAAACAAGUUAGCCAGCACAUUUCAUCAG